AAAUGAGGCCUCUGAGCACAUAAACCAACAAUGGUGGGUGAAUGGUGGGUGAGCUUUCAGUAUUGGGAGGCAAAGUUUGCUUUUUUCACGUGAGGUCUGUGAAAAGUGAUUGAGGUUUUGCAGACUCUUAGGGUACUCAAAGACCCUCUUCAGGGACAUUGGUAGUGACUCUGUGCAAGUCGAUCCUCAACUCUCUUGUAGCCUCCCAGUUCCCACAAACCCUGUCCCAAAAUGGCUUCCUCAAACACCCAAAAACCCUCUUCUUCUCCAGCUCCAACCGGAAAAUUCAACUUCGAUGUCUUCUUGAGUUUUAGAGGGGAAGAUACCCGCUACAAUUUUACGGAUCAUCUAUUCGAAAAUUUGAAACGGAUGGGCAUUAACACUUUCAGAGAUGAUAAACUUGAAAGAGGAGAGGAGAUCGCACAAGAACUUUUGGGAGCUAUUGAAGGAUCAAGAUUUUCCAUAAUUGUUUUCUCGGAAAGGUAUGCUGAUUCCAAAUGGUGUCUGGAUGAGCUUACAAAGAUCAUGGAGUGCAAAAAAGAAAUGGAUCAAAAAGUCCUGCCAGUCUUCUACCAUGUGGAUCCUUCAGAUGUGCGGAAACAAACAGGGAGCUUUGGAAAAGCAUUUGCGAAGCACGGAACAACUGUAGAUGAGCAGAAGGUGAAAAGGUGGAGGGCUGCCAUGACUGAAGCAAGCUCUCUAAGUGGUUGGCAUGUGAUCAAGGAUUAUGAGUAUGAGUCGAAGUAUAUUGAGGAAAUUGCUGAAGUCAUCCGUAAAAAAUUGGAUCCUAAGCUUUUGCAUGUUGAUGAUGAUAUAGUUGGGAUAGAUUUUCGCUUAAAAGAACUAAAAUCAUUGAUAAAUAGUCAAUUACAUGAUGUUCGUGUGGUUGGGAUCUAUGGAACCGGUGGAAUUGGCAAAACUACCAUUGCCAAGAUUGUUUAUAAUGAGAUUCAAUGUGAAUUCAAUGGUGCUAGCUUUCUUGAAAAUGUCAAAGAGAGUUUCAACAAGGGUUGUCAACUUCAACUACAACAAAAACUUCUUCAAGGUAUAGCGGGGCAAAAAAUAGAGUUGAGUAAUAUCGAUGAUGGAAUCAAUAUGAUAAAGAAUACACUUGGCUCAAAAAAGGUUCUUAUUGUUACUGAUGAUGUGGAUCGUAGGGAGCAAUUAGAGUCAUUAGUUGGAAGUAGGAACUGGUUUGGUGCAGGAACUACAAUUAUUGUAACAACUAGAGACCAACUAUUGCUACGUUAUUAUGGAGUCGAUGUAACAUAUGAGGUGAAGAAGUUAGAUAAUGUGGAAGCUAUUGAACUCUUCAACAAGCAUGCCUUUAAACAAAAUGCUCCUAAAGAAGAUUAUGUAACCCUCUCAAAUUCCAUGGUAGCUUAUGCUCAGGGCCUUCCUUUAGCCCUUAAAGUUCUAGGUAGUUCUCUUCAUGGCAUGACGAUAGAUGAAUGGAAAAGUGCAUCGAAUAAACUAAAAAACAAUCCUAAGAAGGAAAUUAAUGAUGUGCUUAGAAUAAGCUAUGAUAUGCUUGAUGGUUCGGAAAAGAAGGUUUUCCUUGACAUUGCAUGUUUUUUUGAAGGGGAAGACAAAGCUUUUGUAUCAAAAAUAUUGGAUGGCUGCAAUUUACAUGCAACAUACAACAUAAGAGUUCUUUGUGAUAAAUGCCUAAUAACUAUCUCAGACAGUAUGAUACAAAUGCAUAACUUGAUACAACAAAUGGGUUGGGCAAUUAUUCGUGAAGAAUAUCCUGAAGACCCAAGCAAAUGGAGUAGGUUGUGGGACCUAAAUGAUAUUUAUGAUGCAUUUUCUAGGCAAAAGGGGAUGAAAAAUAUUGAAACCAUAUCUCUAGAAUUAUCUAGAUCAAAAGAAAUAUGGUUCACUUCAAAAAUAUUUGCCCAAAUGAAGAGAGUGUUUGCCAAGAUGAAGAAACUUAGGUUGCUCAAAGUCUAUUACAGUGAUCAUCAUAGUCUUAUGAGAAAGAAGUAUAAAAUAUCUCUCCCUGAAGGCUUUGAAUUUCCUCCUGAAUUAAGAUAUCUUCAUUGGGAAGGUUUGGAGUCUUUGCCUUCGAACUUUGAGGGAGAGAACCUUGUUGCAAUCAACUUAAAGUCUAGCAAUAUAAAAAAACUUUGGAAAGGGAAGAAGCAUCAUGAAAAAUUGAAGUUCGUUGAUGUAAGUGACUCAGAACAGCUCAUCAAAAUGCCAAAGUUCUCAAGCAUGCCAAAUUUGGAGAGAAUGAAUCUUGGAGGUUGUACAAGUUUUCGCAAACUGCGUUCAUCUAUUGGUGCAUUUCCGCAUAUGAAAUAUUUUAAGGAGCUUCAUUUGCAUGGGGUUGGAAUCAAAGAAGUACCAUGUAGCAUUGGAUCUUUGACAUCUCUUGAAAUUCUUGAUCUCUCAGAGUGUUCAAAGCUCCAAAAAUUCCCAGAUAUCUUUACGAAUAUGAGACACUUGAGGGAGCUUUAUUUACGAAAGACUGGAAUCAAAGAACUCCCAGGCAGUAUUGGAUAUUUGGAAUCUCUUGAAUCUCUUAACCUCUCAGGUUGCUCAGACUUUGAGAAAUUUCCAACGAUCCAAGGGACCAUGAAAUGCUUAAAGAAUCUUAUUUUGGAAGGGACUGCUAUUAAGGAACUCCCAAACAACAUUGGAUAUUUGAAAUCUCUUGAAACUAUUUAUCUCACAAAUUCUUCAAAAUUUGAGAAAUUUCCAGAGAUUCUAGGGAAUAUGAAAUGCUUAAAGGAGCUUUAUUUAGAAAACACUGCUAUUAAGGAGCUUCCAAAUAGCAUUGGUUGCUUGGAGGCUCUUCAAAAUCUUUCUUUACAAAACACUUCUAUUAAGGAACUCCCAAAUAGCAUCGGUUCCUUGAAGGCUCUUGAAGUGCUUUUUGUUGAUGAUUGCUCAAAUCUUGAGAAGUUCCCCGAGAUCCAAAGGAAUAUGGAGAGUCUAAAGAAUCUUUCUGCAAGUGGGACUGCUAUUAAAGAAUUACCCUACUCAAUAAGACAUCUCAUCGGGCUUAGUCGCUUAAAUUUGGAAAACUGCAAAAACUUGAGGAGUCUUCCAAGCAGCAUUCAUGGGUUGAAAUACCUGGAAAAUCUCGCUCUCAAUGGUUGUUCAAAUCUAGAGGCUUUUUCAGAGAUCGAGGUUGAUGUGGAACAUUCCCGACACCUUCAUUUACGUGGAAUGGGUAUAACAGAGCUGCCAUCAUCAAUUGAACGUCUAAAAGGUCUUAAAUCCUUAGAAUUAAUCAAUUGUGAGAACCUUGAGACUCUUCCAAACAGCAUUGGUAAUUUGACAUGUCUUAGUAGGCUUUUUGUUCGUAACUGUUCAAAGCUUCACAAAUUGCCUGACAAUUUGAGAAGCCUGCAAUGUUGCUUAACAGAACUAGAUUUGGCUGGUUGCAAUCUAAUGGAAGGAGCAAUCCCUAGUGAUUUAUGGUGCCUAUCCUCACUAGAAUCUUUAGAUGUGAGCGAAAACCAUAUUCGUUGCAUACCUGUUGGCAUCAUUCAACUUUCUAAGUUGAUAUUCCUUGGCAUGAAUCAUUGCCCGAAGCUUGAAGAAAUUUCAGAGCUUCCAUCAAGUCUAAGAAUGAUACAAGCACACGGUUGUCCAUGCCUCAAAGCUUUAUCAUGUGAUCCAACAGAUGUACUCUGGUUUUCUCUCCUCAACUACUUCAAAUUAGACACAGAGAAUCUUAAAUGCGAAAGAGACUUCUACAAGACCCACUGCAAUAUUAGUGUUGUGAUUCCAGGAAGCAAUGGAAUACCAGAGUGGGUAAGUGAUAAGAGUACCGGAUGUGAAAUAAGAAUAGAGCUCCCGAAGAAUUGGUAUAAAGAUGACAGCUUCUUGGGAUUUGCAUUAUUCUUCCAUCAUCUUCCACUUGAUGAUGAUGAUGAUGAAUGCGACACAAAAUUUUAUUUUCAUCAAUGUGAAUUGAGCAUGUCCUAUGGUGAUCAAUCUGAACAGGUGGAUAGUUUAUGGUUGCCUUUCCGUUGUAGAACCUACAAUAUUUGUGGUUUAACAUCAGGGACUACAAGCUACGACUUUACAAGCUACGACAAGGGUAGCACAACAGAUCCAGCAUUGGUGGUGUCCUUUUUCCCUCAAAUUGGCAUUUCAAGUGAGUAUCGAUCCAAACGGUGGAACAACUUCAAGGCUCGCUUUAAGGGUUCUUAUCGAUGUGGCGAUAACGAAGCCUUUAAAGUGAAAAGUUGUGGGAUACAUCUUAUAUAUGCCCAAGCCCAAGAUCAUCUUAAAAAAAGAUCAAGAAAUGAUGACCUAACAGAGGAGGACCCACACCACAAAAGAUCAAGACAUGCUUAGUUUCCAACUCCCUUCACCAAGGGUACACUUUCUAGUGGAAAAGAAAUUGCUAUAAAGAGGCUAUCUAAAAGCUCUGGGCAAGGUGCAGUAGAAUUCAAAAAUGAGGUUGUAUUGGUAGCCAAGCUUCAACACAGAAAUCUAGUGAGGUUAUUGGGAUUUUGCCUGGAAGGGGAAGAGAAGAUACUUGUCUAUGAAUAUGUGCCCAACAAAAGCCUCGACUACUUCCUGUUUGAUCCUGAUAAACAAGGACAAUUGAAUUGGUCAAGACAGUACAAGAUUAUUGGAGGAAUAGCCCGAGGGAUUCUUUUUCUUCAUGAAGAUUCCAGGCUCAGAGUUAUACAUCGUGAUCUAAAAGCCGGCAAUGUUUUGCUAGAUGGUGAUAUGAACCCUAAUAUUUCAGAUUUUGGCAUGGCAAGGAUUUUUGGUGUAGAUCAAACUCAAGGAAAUACAAACAGAGUUGUUGGCACAUAGUAAGUUUUGGAGCUUCAAAUACAUUUUGAUAAUCCAGAUCAGUUUUGAAUUUA